GGGCAUAUACCAGUUAAACUCCGCCAUUUUGCCUCUCAGUGUUCAAGCUUGAGCCCACGCAUCCAACUCCUGAGAUCUUACUGGGAAGCUGCUGAUCAUCAGUUUCAGGAAGUCAGCAUGGAUCAGCCUUACGUUCAUGGCCUCCAGGCCCUAUUCUCCUGCCUCACAGGGACCGGCCAGGAUCUCUAUCCUUACAGCACGUUGGAAUGUAUAUGCUCCUCUCCCCACAUCGCCUUAGGGAGCAGGCAGGUGUCAGGGGCAGCACAAGGACGGCCAACAGGACAGACGGGUUGAAGAUCCGAGAGGCUGAGUCACUUCCACAAAGUAACACAGCUGAUUUUAAAUGCCUGCAUUCAGCAUCCCUGCAGCAGGCUCCAGGUGGAAUUCUAAUGGGACCAGCCUCCAGUCCCUGGACCUUAGCCGUGGAAGGAGAGAAGAGGACAUCUGCACCUCCUCUCAGAGAAAGCCUGAUGCCUACUAAAGGACUUGGGUGGUGGACGCAGUGACCCUCAGUCUGGAGCUUGUUCACUGAACAUUGGAGACUAUCAUUUGCGCAGAUGGUCUUGGGCCUCUAUGAGCAGCAGGCUGCACCCCACAGUGACCUCCUCAUUCUACUCUGAGGCAUCUUCAUGAAAGCAGAUGUCCAUUGAAAAGCACCCAAGUGCAGUCUCAGCUGAUGAACUUCAGAGGCGAUUGAGACAAAGGCUCUCGGUCCCCUCUGCCCUUGGAUGGUGCCUCUGGUAUGCACUUGGCCUCUGUGUCUUUAUUUAGACUGGUCACUUCACAACCCAUCAUGUCACCCCACCCCUAACCGUGCCCACUCUGGGUCCUCCCCUCAACUGCCUGACUUCCCACUUUGAGCUCAGCAAAGGCAAUAGAUGUUUUGUCUGCUUCGAUACCCUAAAUGCAUGGCGUGGAAGCUGGCACACAGUGGGCCCUUGAAA
ensembl:lncRNA LINC02318 long intergenic non-protein coding RNA 2318